UUGUAUAGUAACAAUUCUAAAUAACAGCCAAGAGCACAGUCAUUUAUUUGUUUGUUACCUUGAUUUGGGGCAAAACGACACAAGAAGACCAGUUCUACACAAAGAAUUAACACAGUACUGUGCUAAUAUAAGUAAAUAAAGUUUAGUUCAAAGAGAAACAAAUAAUAAAAAGUCAAAGAGAGAACUGAGCUGGCAACUGAUAAUUUAUUUAAGAAACUGUAUUUUCCUAAACUAUCUUUGUUCCAUUUAUGGCCUGCAUAGUUUACUCUACAGACAGGUGUCUAUUAAAUGAGAAGAGAAUUUUUGGGAAAAAAAAAUUCUUCAACUCCGAACUAUAUAAGCUCUGCUAAUGAGGGUGCUUGAAACACAGGAGUCAGAGAGUAGAUUCACUAGGGACUCGACUUCAUACUUACAGGCUUGAUGGGGGAAGGUGGUGUUUCACAUAAGUAAAAAACGUAAUACACAAUCCUUAAUGCAACUGUGGUGGACCAUGCUGAGAGCCUAUCCAACGCUUCCUUCUUCCUAAUGAUCCAUGAUUGGAUUUCUAUAUCCACAUCUCUCCCAGUGGUCAAUGCGCCUCAGGGUAAGCUGACUGUCCUGAGCUGCAAGGGUAGACCACAAUUAAUCUAAUCCAUUAUGGUAAGCUCAUCCCUUUUGCCAACGAUUAGUUAAGGCAUAUUUAGAAUUAAGCUAAUUUAGGACAAUAAGGAGCAAGUUGGGGGCAGGAGUGCAUAAGGACUUCUCAGAGAAAAGAACCUAUAUUGCCCAUGAGAACGCCAAGAGAAGUUUAUUUCUCUCUUUGGAUCUGAAGGAGGAAACACACAAUCCUGAUUGCAGCCAGCAGCCAUUUGGCAACUACAGUGUUGGGAUAAAGGAAAUAUUAUGGAUAAAGAGUAGAGUAGACGACAAACUGAGUCCUUGAAAAAAAUCACUGAGCCACUGGCGUAACUAAUCCUAAUAUAUGUAUUUUCUUAUGUGAGCUAACCAAUAUUCUUUUUAUUUAAGCCAAAUUAGACUAAUUUGGAAACUAAUUAGCUAUUAGGAAACUAACAAUUGCCAAGUUCUAUUUUCAUUACUUUUAGAAAACUUUAGAAUUUUACCCAUUCCUAGCUUUAAAAAAAAACCAUAUGCUACUUUUUGUAUAUUUUCCUGAUUUCCUACAGUGAUUGUGUAUUACAUGUGCUAUUGGGAGCAGAGUUAUUCAAUCUUAGUGUACCAAUAUGACCUCUUCUUGAUCAUCAGUAUAAAAAAUUAUGCUUUUAGUCUAGUAAUGCUUUCAGGGGCCCAUGAUGUACUCAGAUCGCUAUGUUCUUAUAGCCUGAUUUUGCUCCAAUAUCAACUGUCUCUUGUUCCUGCUGUACUCUGCUCACAACAGUUUCAGAGAACCACUACACUCUCAUCUACAGUUCAUUGGUUCUCUACGCCCUGUGCAUUCUCAUCCUACUCUGAGUUCCCAGUUAUACACACGCAGAUGGCUGAAGUUGCUAGAAGUAUGUUCUGAAGCAUAUGAAAAUUAUUCUCAGGACAGUGAAUUUCUUUUUGAACUUAGUUUAAAAAUAUAACCUAGAUAACUAGUUUUGUACUUCUUUUAAAAAGUAUCUCAUUUAUGCCUUCCCUUCCUCCCUUCUUUUGGCAUUCACUUUUCCUAGAAAUACUUUUGACCUCUUACUUUUAAAUAGAUAUUGAAGAUUUCUAUAUGGUCAAGGCUAUAAAACAACAGCCUAUGGGCCAAAUAUAUUUAACAGGUCGAUUUUGCCCUGUAGAGUUAUUGUCACAGAGUAUCUUAAAAACACCUAAAUUAAUUACCAACUAAUUUACAUAAAAAUCUGUAUUUUAGGAUCCUUUGGAAAAACUGAAAUAUUGGGUAACAAUCAGCCUGAAUACUCCCAUGAUCACCAUCAGAUGGAGCAGAAUAUUAGCUGUCCCUCUACUCAGUUAGAUGAGCACAAAUUCUCUAAAGCCCCAGUCUCAUUAUUAUUUCCCUAAAUGGCCUAAUUCUUUAUAGUUAAGGCCCGUAUAGGUAGUUGACUAUGGUAUCCCUGAUACAACAGGCUAGUAACAGCCAUAGGUACAUGAAAGAAAUAAGAUUGGUUAAGAAAGUACAGAAGUUCAUAAGGAAUUCUGUGAAGUCUGUUUCCAAAAUGUUUCCUCCGGCAUCUUUUAAUUUAACCAGCAGUCUAUCUCUAGAGCCAAUGAUCCAGCAAUAAAUUCU
rnacentral:lncRNA from 10 species